AUUGAACGCUGGCGGCAUGCCUUACACAUGCAAGUCGAACGGCAGCACGGGAGCAAUCCUGGUGGCGAGUGGCGAACGGGUGAGUAAUAUAUCGGAACGUGCCCAGUAGUGGGGGAUAGCCCGGCGAAAGCCGGAUUAAUACUGCAUACGACCUGAGGGUGAAAGCGGGGGAUCGCAAGACCUCGCGCUAUUGGAGCGGCCGAUAGCAGAUUAGCUUGUUGGUGGGGUAAAAGCCUACCAAGGCGACGAUCUGUAGCUGGUCUGAGAGGACGACCAGCCACACUGGGACUGAGACACGGCCCAGACUCCUACGGGAGGCAGCAGUGGGGAAUUUUGGACAAUGGGCGCAAGCCUGAUCCAGCCAUGCCGCGUGCGGGAAGAAGGCCUUCGGGUUGUAAACCGCUUUUGUCAGGGAAGAAACGGCUCUUGAUAAUACCGAGAGCUAAUGACGGUACCUGAAGAAUAAGCACCGGCUAACUACGUGCCAGCAGCCGCCGUAAGAC
rnacentral:rRNA from 1 species